CAUUCUCCUCCUGCUUCCGCCGUCGCCGCGCGGCGUCUACUUUGCCCUGCCUAGUCUUCCUUUUUCAGGCUUCUACUACUCACUGUCCAGUUUCUGGUUUUCUUGCAUAUUGUCCCUCAGAUUUCAGUCCUUCGCCCCUGCUUUUUAGUUUCCCGGUCAAGGAGAACGGUUGCUGUGUUUUAGAACGCAGUGGGUACGUCAAAAAGUAUGCAGGAGAGGAAGAACAAGGUUCAAGCAAGUGUGGCUGGCUGGUCUGGUUGAAAGAAAAUAAAAGACGGUAAAUAAAAUUCACCAGAGACCACAUAGCCAGAGAAGGACAAGCUGGGUUUUGAAUGUAGGCAAUCUUGACCCCAGAGCCCUCCAGCCUAAAGGUGUCUGAGUCAUGAAACUUAAUUCCAGGAGCCAAGGAAAGACUCCAAAAUGAAGGGGAAGAAAAAGUACUUCGUAAGGUCUGUGCGCUAAGUUGACUCUACUUCAAGUUCAGGUAUGUUCUGCGUGUCUCUCACUCUGGGGUCCGUGGUUACCUGGACAGAUGACUACUACUUCAUGGCAGAUCCUAGAUACUCAAGAAUCCAGUGCAAACUCUGCAAGCACAUUUAAAGCCUCGCUCACGACAUAUAUGCUAAUUGAACAAAGCAUACCAUGACAAGCCUGAGACAUUGGGGUAGAGGUGUAUACUGAGUCUGCUUUACCAGAAAACAUUGCAAUGUCAUGUGCAUAAGGAUAUGGAUGUAUAAUCCUAUGACAAAAUCAGCAGAGAAGAAUCGAGCACAUUAAUGCAAGCUACCAUUCUACUAAAGACACUGUACAGUAGCAGAUUUCUUAAAAAGAACUUUUCUGACGCUACUCACAUGUGUUAACUUGUGUUAACAUGUUAACUCAGGGGUUGGCAAACAUUUUCCAUGAAAACCCACUUGUAAAUAUUUUGAGCUUUGUGGGACAUACGGUCUUCAUCACAACUCUGAUGUUAUUGCAUGAAGCAGCUACAGAAAAAUGUAAAUAAAGAAGUGGGUCUGUGUUCCAAUAACAUUUAGUGUAUGGACACUGAAAUUUGAAUUUCAUGUACCUCUCAUGUGUUACAAAAUAUUAUUCUUCUUUUGAUAUUUUUCAAUCAUGUAAAAAUAUAAAAACUAUUUUUAGCAUGUGGCUUGUACAAAAACAGGUAGUAGGCCAGAUUUGACCCAGCGGACAUUGUUUGAUGACCCCUGUAUUAGCCGCUUAACCAGCCAAGUCCUUAGCAUUUAUUGAUCAUAGAAGACUGAAUAAUAGAAAGAAAAGGCAAUAACCAAAGGGUUCAAACAGUUGAGGAUGUAGAAUACAUACACGUAAGAACUAUCUAGGAAUAUUUGAAAAAUAAUAUAUAUAGGAAGGCAAGUCCAAACUCAUGAAUGAUAGGAGAUAAACUCCAAGGAGAAAUUAUUCAAGUAUAUUAUAUAAGGACAGAAUUCCUUGAAAAAGUAAGUUUUAUAGAUGAGGACACAGAUUCACUGAGUGAUUAACCUAUUCUUUCUUCAAACACUGAGAACGAAAACUUUUAGGAAUAAUACAGGUUCCAGUCUACAGUUUAUUUUAUUUUAUGGAUUUUUUUUCCUUUUACACAUUAAAUAAAACUUACUACUCUUAUUAAAGUUGUUAGUAUUGUGAAAGCAAUCAAUACAAUUUUUAAAAAGUUGAAAAUAAAAAGGGAAAGUCACCACCCACAGGCUUAUAUAACAUUAAAUAAAACUUAUUACUCUUAUUAAAGUUGUUAGUAUUGUGAAAGCAAUCAAUACAAUUUUUAAAAAGUUGAAAAUAAAAAGGGAAAGUCACCACCCACAGGCAUCCUCUGUUAACAGCAUGGUAUGUAAUUCUCGAGCUUUUUCUACACAUACACCCAUAUGUUUUAUUAUUGUUUAUUAAAGUAUUUUAUUAUA